CUGGAGAAGGAUUUCGACAUCUGGAGCUGGAGAUCACGUGCCCCGAGCAGCCGGCGGCAACCAGGGACUCCAGGAAGCCAGGCAGUUUCACAGAAGCACUGGGAGCCAGGGGAGCACUUCGGCAGGAGCCAAGUGAGGUCAGACAGGCUCUGUUGUCCCAGCGGGGUGGUGGCCCAGAGAGGGAGGCCCGGUCCCCGCGGGCCAUUCGGAAGCAAGCAUGUGACAGUGCCAUCCUAGUGACUGCCUACGGAGCGCUGGGCAAAGGAACUCUUAGAUGAGAACACCAAGGCCCGGGAGGGCCUGGGCCAGGAACACUCACAUUUCCUCCUUCAUUGAUUCCUACACCCAACACUUGGGAAGCCCACCCUCUGUGCCCAAUGCCACACAGACUCCGAGGAGACACACGGGCAGGAGGGACCAGGACCCGAGCACUGCAUGAGGAGUCCACAGUCCUCGGCAUCGGCCCCCGCUAGACCAUUUGUUCCCAGCUGUGUGACCAGCACAGCUUCUCUCACAGACUAGAGUUUCCAGUUACUGUGUUUUCUUGAGAGGCUACAGGGAAGAAGAGUGAAGAGCCAGGCUCAGUGCAGUCCCUGAAGCCAGGCUCCUGGGGUUCAAAUCCAUCACUCCAACUGUGUGGCCUGGAAGAAGUUGCCAAACAUCUCUGUGGCUCAGCUUCACUAUCCGUAAAAUGAGGAUUCGUAGCAGAACCAAUUUCGUGAGUUGUUGUGAGGAUUAAAUGACAUCAUGGCAUAUUUCUAAUGGGGAGCGCAGUACCACAUCCUGAUGGGGCAUUUUUAACUGUGAGUGGGUAUUUGGGGCGUGCCAGUGACUGGGAAAGGCCAUGGAGAUGGGUCCCACUGAUAGCAGGGUGCAGGAACCAGAGAUACGAAAUCUUUGCAACAUGCCAUACAUCCUGCCCAACAAAGAAUUGCCCCUCAGAAUGCACCCCUACACAGGAACUCUGCGUGAAAAGUGCCUCAUCAGGACCUGGCACAGGGGAGAUGUCCACCAUAUGUGAGCUAUGACUUGUUUACUGUCCCUGGCCACGUAAGCUCUGUAAGAGCAGGGAAGGACCUUGACAAAUCUCCAGCACCUAGGACAGGGCCCAACAUAUGGCAGGCACUGGAUGAAUGGACCAAUGAAUGAAUCAAUGGUAUGUGUUGAGUCCAUGAUUGAUGAGUAGGCGUUUGGUGAAACACAUCAAUUUCAAUUACAACCAGUGUUUUCUGAGCAGCUCCAUACCACAGGAUAAGGAGAGAGGCUACAGGAACAGCUGCCCCUCUCUGCAUGUGCAGUUCCAUCCUUCCUGAGCCCGCUGGACAUGACCUCUGGGCGCUCGUAGCUGUCCUUAACUGGUGAAUACUAUCUACUCAUAAAGGUUUUUCUCUUCUCCCCUACCAGAAUGUGGGGAGGGUCCUCCUCACGCCUCUCUGUUCCUGGAAAAGGGGGACUCUGGCCCUCAGCAGGCCUUGGCAGAUACCUGAAUGCAUCCCCUACCCUACUUUUCAUCUAUGCAAUCAGGCAUCUUCAUGUGAAUGGGGACACACCUGAUCAAGCUGAGUGUUUGGGAAAUGAGAGGGGAAAGAGGUGAAGGGAGGGACUUCCUGAAUGUUCCAAGAAAGAAUGGAUUAACCAGAAAACUCUAUUCCAACUCUUGUCGAACAUUUUCCUAUCCUUGGUCUCCUCUCCUCCUUGGUAACACAUAGAAUACUUCUGGCUCAGAGGCCAGCCACACUUUUAAAAUUAUGCCACAGAAUUUUGCUCAGUGCCUACUGCAUACAGGGGAAGAAUGAAUCAAACCAGGUCCCUGAUACUGGAGGCUCCAAUCUUUGGGGAGAUAUCCAUGUACCAAAUAAGACCAUGAUCUGGGGGUGCUGGCCAGAAGGGCAGGAUGCAGAAACUUUAGAAGGUUAUAUCAAAUGUAGCUGAGUUCCUGACACUCUUCAGAAGCUAUGUUUUGAGGGUUAAAUAUCCAGUAGGAACUUAUGUUCUUGAAUUUAGCUGGGUUUUCCUGUUUGUUUGAUUUUUUGUUUGUUUUCCUGCAAAUUCUGUUCACUAGAUGGUAUUGGUCAGUGAGUUUCUGGUUAAGCAUGGUUCCAUAGGGUGUGUUCCUUCCAGAAGUGAAGAGAAGUGGAGUUUACAUCCUAACACAUACCUAUCUAACCUGUCAGGUGCUGCCAAGUGCUGUUUAGCAAGCCAAGCUUUGUUUGGGGAUGAUGGGGUAAAAGGCAAGGUGCAGGGGGCGUCUCUCUGAUCAGGUGCCAUACAAGCAGAGGACCGAAGGAAGCGAAGGAGCCAGCAGUGUGGCUCUCAGAAGAGCUUCACCAUCAGCCAGAGUCUCAUGAAUCAUGGUUCUGGAAGGUGCUGAGCUCUGGACAAAAGCUGGGGCCCCAGCACCACCAAAGGGGAAGAUGCUCCCUUUCCCUUAGUUUCUCCUGUCUGCGGACUUCCGGCCCACAGGACCCAGAGACACUGAUUUCCUUUGAUCCUCUCAUAACCUCAUGGGUUAGAAAACUCUUCCAUAAGUCUGACUUAAGUCGGGCAUGAGACACUUCAGCCUGUCUCCAUGUUCCUCCCAGCUGAGGAGGUGAAGCACAGGGGGAUGCCGUCCUCUGGAUACCACCGUGGUGAAGUUCUCAAACUUUUCCAUGAAGGCAACCCCAGGGGGAGGGGAGGGAGGACACUGACAGGUUUCCCUCAGGGAGGUCCAGGGACAUCACCCAAAGCAGUCCCCACAAGUCUCUUGUUUUAUCUUUAAAAUCCACGCCCGUGUAAAAUUCUACUCUGCAAUCUAUGCAUGAAUCUAUCCACGGGAUAAAAGAGACGCGUUUUUAUUUCUUCAGCUGGAAGACGAGUCAAACCUAGGCUGUAGCACCCAAGGCCUCUGGCCCUCUGCACGGACAUGGGCACUACACUCGAGAAGCAGAGAGCAGAAGAAACCCCUGCCCCGGGGUUCCAGUCACCCCUAGCUGUGGACACGCCACGUGUCUUUCCUCAAACACGGGGAGGGGCCACUGUGGCUCUCGGUCCCACCGGUCCCACCGUGCCGCGCAGCUCAGGUCUCGGAAGACCCCAGUGAAGGGCAGGACGGUGCGGGUAACUAAAAGCCUGAACUGGACUGGGCGUGCAGGUGUGGGGAUAUGGGAAGAAUGUUCUGGCCAGAGGCUCUCCUCUUUUUCCUGGAAAGACUACAGCAAACUCCCUGAGAAGGAGGAUGUGGCCACCAUGUCACAGGCCUCCCAGCCAGGGCUUUAACAAGUGCCAGCAGCUUCUGGGGUCUUGGGUGCCUAGCAAGGUGUGCGGCACCUAAUAACCCUCAGUCGAUACCUGUCGGAUGCAUAGAAGAAUGAACGGUGAAUAAAUGGGUGGAGAGGUCACCAAGAACGAGGGGAUGCCCCCACCUAGAUGAUUCUAAGGCCCUUUCUGGCCCUAAACAGCAUAUUUGAGGUGGCUACACCACCCAUUCUGUUCCUGUUCUAAAUAAAUAAAUUGAUAUACUGCC